ensembl:lncRNA novel transcript
AGUUAGUUAUUCACUGCAACCAAGUGCAGAUCAUUUCCACUUACUUUACCAUCUAACUGUGAAGAUUAUUAAGGAAAAGGACUUUUUCUUCUUCUCUCUUCUAACAUGUUAAACUAAGAACCUUCCCACUGUGAACUACUGGCAUCUUACUUUUUGACCCCUUGACAAGAAGAACUGGAGUUACCAAAAUGCUGUCAUUUAAGGUGUUGGAGUGGAAACCAGAACAUUACCUAUUAUCAAGAAGGGGUUUCUUCUAAGGCAUUCAGGGCACUCAGAAACAUACAUCUAAGGAAAGAUUCACUUAAAAACCAGCCAAGACACAGUCAUAUAAUUGGGAUCUCCAGGGCCCUGAGUAAAGACAGUCUCCUCCCACUUCAUCGUCGGUAAAUCAAACUCUCCACAGAUGGUCAGUCAAGAGGAAGAAAAGGAAACUUGAGGCAAGGGAAGAUGUGAAACAAUUCAAAGUGAUGCAUAUGACUCCAGCUGCUGCCGUGUGAAGUACCACCGUGAGAUACAGCAGCUUUCUCAGCAGGCUUGUCUACGAAAACAUCAGGGACUCCCCUGGAAAUUGUG